rnacentral:rRNA from 1 species
AAUUCGAUUAGUUUGAUCAUGGCUCAGGAUGAACGCUAGCGGCAGGCUUAAUACAUGCAAGUCGAGGGGCAGCACAGGUAGCAAUACUGGGUGGCGACCGGCAAACGGGUGCGGAACACGUACGCAACCUUCCUUUAACUGGAGAAUAGCCCCUCGAAAGAGGGAUUAAUACUCCGUAACAUGUUGAUAAGGCAUCUUAUUAAUAUUAUAGCCUUCGGGCGGUUAAAGUUGGGCGUGCGCCUGAUUAGAUAGUUGGCGGGGUAACGGCCCACCAAGUCUGCGAUCAGUAACUGGUGUGAGAGCACGACCAGUCACACGGGCACUGAGACACGGGCCCGACUCCUACGGGAGGCAGCAGUAAGGAAUAUUGGUCAAUGGACGCAAGUCUGAACCAGCCAUGCCGCGUGGAGGAUUAAGGCCCUCUGGGUUGUAAACUCCUUUUAUCUGGGAAGAAAUGCCAUUUUUCUAAAUGGUUUGACGGUACCAGAGGAAUAAGCACCGGCUAACUCCGUGCCAGCAGCCGCGGUAAUACGGAGGGUGCAAGCGUUAUCCGGAUUCACUGGGUUUAAAGGGUGCGUAGGCGGGCAGGUAAGUCCGUGGUGAAAUCUCUGAGCUUAACUCAGAAACUGCCAUGGAUACUAUUUGUCUUGAAUACUGUGGAGGUAAGCGGAAUAUGUCAUGUAGCGGUGAAAUGCUUAGAUAUGACAUGGAACACCAAUUGCGAAGGCAGCUUACUACACAGUUAUUGACGCUGAGGCACGAAAGCGUGGGGAUCAAACAGGAUUAGAUACCCUGGUAGUCCACGCCCUAAACGAUG